AGUGAACGCUGGCGGUAGGCCUAACACAUGCAAGUCGAACGGCAGCACAGUAAGAGCUUGCUCUUACGGGUGGCGAGUGGCGGACGGGUGAGGAAUACAUCGGAAUCUACUUUUUCGUGGGGGAUAACGUAGGGAAACUUACGCUAAUACCGCAUACGACCUACAGGUGAAAGCAGGGGAUCUUCGGACCUUGCGCGAUUGAAUGAGCCGAUGUCGGAUUAGCUAGUUGGCGGGGUAAAGGCCCACCAAGGCGACGAUCCGUAGCUGGUCUGAGAGGAUGAUCAGCCACACUGGAACUGAGACACGGUCCAGACUCCUACGGGAGGCAGCAGUGGGGAAUAUUGGACAAAGGGCGCAAGCCUGAUCCAGCCAUACCGCGUGGGUGAAGAAGGCCUUCGGGUUGUAAAGCCCUUUUGUUGGGAAAGAAAAGCAGCAGGUUAAUACCCCGCUGUUCUGACGGUACCCAAAGAAUAAGCACCGGCUAACUUCGUG
rnacentral:rRNA from 1 species